rnacentral:rRNA from 1 species
GACGAACGCUGGCGGCGUGCCUAAUACAUGCAAGUAGAACGCUGAAGAGAGGAGCUUACUCUUCUUGGAUGAGUUGCGAACGGGUGAGUAACGCGUAGGUAACCUGCCUUGUAGCGGGGGAUAACUAUUGGAAACGAUAGCUAAUACCGCAUAACAAUGGAUGACACAUGUCAUUUAUUUGAAAGGGGCAAUUGCUCCACUACAAGAUGGACCUGCGUUGUAUUAGCUAGUAGGUGAGGUAAUGGCUCACCUAGGCGACGAUACAUAGCCGACCUGAGAGGGUGAUCGGCCACACUGGGACUGAGACACGGCCCAGACUCCUACGGGAGGCAGCAGUAGGGAAUCUUCGGCAAUGGGGGCAACCCUGACCGAGCAACGCCGCGUGAGUGAAGAAGGUUUUCGGAUCGUAAAGCUCUGUUGUAAGUCAAGAACGGAUGUGAGAGUGGAAAGUUCACACUGUGACGGUAGCUGACCAGAAAGGGACGGCUAACUACGUG